UACAAAGGGGGCAAGCGUUGUUCGGAAUUACUGGGCGUAAAGGGCGCGUAGGCGGCCGCCUAAGUCAGACGUGAAAUCCCUCGGCUCAACCGGGGAACUGCGUCUGAUACUGGGUGGCUUGAAUCCGGGAGGGGGAUGCGGAAUUCCAGGUGUAGCGGUGAAAUGCGUAGAUAUCUGGAGGAACACCGGUGGCGAAGGCGGCAUCCUGGACCGGCAUUGACGCUGAGGCGCGAAAGCCAGGGGAGCAAACGGG
rnacentral:rRNA from 1 species